rnacentral:rRNA from 1 species
UACGUAGGGUGCAAGCGUUGUCCGGAAUUAUUGGGCGUAAAGAGCUUGUAGGCGGUCUGUCGCGCCUGCUGUGAAAAUCCGGGGCUCAACCCCGGACUUGCAGUGGGUACGGGCAGACUAGAGUGUGGUAGGGGAGACUGGAAUUCCUGGUGUAGCGGUGAAAUGCGCAGAUAUCAGGAGGAACACCGAUGGCGAAGGCAGGUCUCUGGGCCACUACUGACGCUGAGAAGCGAAAGCAUGGGGAGCGAACAGG